UCAAACAAAGAAGAGCUGAAGCCAAAGGACUCUGAACCGCAAGAGUCUGGGAGGAAAAGAGAUGGAGUCCACUAAGACGACAGCCUCACAGAGCCUGGAUAGAUGAUACAGAAACACACAGCCCCUCCACCAAGACCAGCAUUGAUGUAUUGCUGUGAUUAAAAUCAAUUCUUGCUAAUCAGUCA